rnacentral:rRNA from 1 species
CCUACGGGAGGCAGCAGUGGGGAAUUUUGGACAAUGGGCGAAAGCCUGAUCCAGCAAUGCCGCGUGUGGGAAGAAGGCCUUCGGGUUGUAAACCACUUUUGUACGGAACGAAACGGCUCGCUUUAAUACAGUGGGCUAAUGACGGUACCGUAAGAAUAAGCACCGGCUAACUACGUGCCAGCAGCCGCGGUAAUACGUAGGGUGCGAGCGUUAAUCGGAAUUACUGGGCGUAAAGCGUGCGCAGGCGGUUAUAUAAGACAGUUGUGAAAUCCCCGGGCUCAACCUGGGAAUUGCAUCUGUGACUGUAUAGCUAGAGUACGGUAGAGGGGGAUGGAAUUCCGCGUGUAGCAGUGAAAUGCGUAGAUAUGCGGAGGAACACCGAUGGCGAAGGCAAUCCCCUGGACCUGUACUGACGCUCAUGCACGAAAGCGUGGGGAGCAAACAGGAUUAGAUACCCUGGUAGUCCACGCCCUAAACGAUGUCAACUGGUUGUUGGGUGCAUUAGUACUCAGUAACGAAGCUAACGCGUGAAGUUGACCGCCUGGGGAGUACGGCCGCAAGGUUGAAACGUCAAAGGAUUGACGG